rnacentral:misc_RNA from 1 species
AAGUCGUAACAAGGUAACCGUAGGUGAACCUGCGGUUGGAUCAUUAACAAUGGUUUUCAAACCUUUAUUCUGUGCACUGUAUUGUUCUUGGUGUUGUCCGCCUCUCUCUUUGGAGAGGAGCGGAGGCACCGACAUUUUUAAACCAUGUAUUGUAUCGAGUCUUGAAUUUGUAUUAAAAUGAAAAACUUUUGACAACGGAUCUCUUGGCUCUC